rnacentral:rRNA from 1 species
AUUGAACGCUGGCGGCAUGCUUUACACAUGCAAGUCGAACGGCAGCACGGGGGCAACCCUGGUGGCGAGUGGCGAACGGGUGAGUAAUGCAUCGGAACGUGCCCUGUCGUGGGGGAUAACACAUCGAAAGAUGUGCUAAUACCGCAUACGACCUGAGGGUGAAAGCGGGGGACCGUAAGGCCUCGCGCGAUAGGAGCGGCCGAUGUCUGAUUAGCUAGUUGGUGGGGUAAAGGCCUACCAAGGCGACGAUCAGUAGCUGGUCUGAGAGGACGGCCAGCCACACUGGGACUGAGACACGGCCCAGACUCCUACGGGAGGCAGCAGUGGGGAAUUUUGGACAAUGGGGGCAACCCUGAUCCAGCCAUGCCGCGUGCGGGAAGAAGGCCUUCGGGUUGUAAACCGCUUUUGGCAGGAACGAAACGGUGCGGGCGAAUACCCUGUGCUAAUGACGGUACCUGCAGAAUAAGCACCGGCUAACUACGUGCCAGCAGCCGCCGUAACAC